rnacentral:rRNA from 1 species
AGAGUUUGAUCCUGGCUCAGGACGAACGCUGGCGGCGUGCUUAACACAUGCAAGUCGAGCGGAAAGGCCCUUCGGGGUACUCGAGCGGCGAACGGGUGAGUAACACGUGAGCAAUCUGCCCUUAGCUUCGGGAUAGCUCCGGGAAACCGGGAAUUAAUACCGGAUAUGACUAUGGCCGACAUCAGCCAUGGUGGAAAGUUUUUCGGCUAGGGAUGAGCUCGCGGCCUAUCAGCUAGUUGGUGGGGUAAUGGCCUACCAAGGCGACGACGGGUAGCCGGCCUGAGAGGGCGACCGGCCACACUGGGACUGAGACACGGCCCAGACUCCUACGGGAGGCAGCAGUGGGGAAUAUUGCGCAAUGGGCGAAAGCCUGACGCAGCGACGCCGCGUGGGGGAUGAAGGCCUUCGGGUUGUAAACCCCUUUCAGCAGGGACGAAGCGAAAGUGACGGUACCUGCAGAAGAAGCGCCGGCUAACUACGUGCCAGCAGCCGCGGUAACACGUAGGGCGCAAGCGUUGUCCGGAAUUAUUGGGCGUAAAGAGCUCGUAGGCGGUCUGCCACGUCCGCUGUGAAAACCUAGGGCUUAACCCUGGGCUUGCAGUAGAUACGGGCAGACUAGAGGUAGGUAGGGGAGAAUGGAAUUCCCGGUGUAGCGGUGAAAUGCGCAGAUAUCGGGAGGAACACCGGUGGCGAAGGCGGUUCUCUGGGCCUUACCUGACGCUGAGGAGCGAAAGCGUGGGGAGCAAACAGGAUUAGAUACCCUAGUAGUCC